rnacentral:rRNA from 1 species
CGCACGGGUGAGUAACGCGUGGAUAAUCUACCCUUAAGAUGGGGAUAACGGCUGGAAACGGUCGCUAAUACCGAAUACGCUCCCGAUUUUAUCGUUGGGGGGAAAGAUGGCCUCUGCUUGCAAGCUAUCGCUUAAGGAUGAGUCCGCGUCCCAUUAGCUAGUUGGCGGGGUAACGGCCCACCAAGGCGACGAUGGGUAGCCGGUCUGAGAGGAUGACCGGCCACACUGGAACUGGAACACGGUCCAA